GUCUACCAUAAUAUGACCCUGAACAUGUCUGAUCUUGUCUGAUCUCAGACGCUAAGCAAGAUUGGGCUUGGUUAGUACUUGUAUGAGAGAAUACCUAAAAAUACCACUUGAAGUCU
rnacentral:rRNA from 1 species